rnacentral:rRNA from 1 species
UGGGGAAUAUUGCACAAUGGGGGAAACCCUGAUGCAGCAACGCCGCGUGAGUGAAGAAGGUUUUCGGAUUGUAAAGCUCUGUUAGCAGGGAAGAGGAAGGACGGUACCUGCAGAGGAAGCCACGGCUAACUACGUGCCAGCAGCCGCGGUAAUACGUAGGUGGCAAGCGUUGUUCGGAAUAACUGGGCGUAAAGGAUGCGUAGGCGGUUAAACAAGUUAUAUGUUAAAUAUAUAGGCUUAACCUGUAGAAAGCAUAUAAAACUGUUUAACUAGAGUGCAGGAGAGGUAAGUGGAAUUCCUAGUGUAGCGGUGAAAUGCGUAGAGAUUAGGAAGAACACCAGUGGCGAAGGCGACUUACUGGACUGUAACUGACGCUGAGGCAUGAGAGCAUGGGGAGCAAACAGG